rnacentral:rRNA from 1 species
UACGUAGGGUGCAAGCGUUGUCCGGAAUUAUUGGGCGUAAAGAGCUCGUAGGCGGUUUGUUGCGUCGGCUGUGAAAUCCCGAGGCUCAACCUCGGGUCUGCAGUCGAUACGAGCAAACUAGAGUGUUGCAGGGGAGACUGGGAAUUCCUGGUGUAGCGGUGAAAUGCGCAGAUAUCAGGAGGAACACCGGUGGCGAAGGCGGGUCUCUGGGGCAACAACUGACGCUGGAGGAGCGAAAGCCGUGGGGAGCGAACAGG